ensembl:lncRNA
GGUCAGAACCCAGGAGACAUGAGUUACUUAACUGAGAAGAUGAGUUACUUAACUGAGGCCGGAAAGCUUUUGAAAUGAGGCCCAUCUGCCCUCAAACAAGCGCUGUGUGCCUGUGACCCUGAAGAGAGGGCAAUGUCUUUGACCCGGCCAAGAUCCCCCUUGGGACCGCUCCAUCCUCUUCUGACCUUCUCACCCCCCGGGCUGCUCACCCCCACCUGCCGCAUCUGUGGUCUAACAGCUGUGAGGGUGAGCAGAGACAUUAAGCCCUAAUGCCUCCAGGUUCUUAGCAGCUGGGAGCUCUCUCUGUUGCCUGGUGGUUUCCAGCCUUUCUUCAGGAAUGUUCAGCUGACACCAUCUCUAUCAGCUGUGAGUGCCGAGAGGCUGAGGACUGAUGGGUCAGACGCAGGUACCACAGCGACUCUUGACCUCACUUCCACAGGCUCACCCCUCAUGGCAAUCGUGUGUGACUCAAGCCACUUGGGAUGAAAUAUGAUUGGUUAGGAUGUGACCUGCCACAGUGGCCGAAGUUAGCUCACAGGCUGAGAGUUCACCCCAGGAGCCUGAAGCGCUAACGACCAAGCCAGAUGUUCGGUCCUGAAAGUGCCACACUGGCCUUGGGGGAUGGGUUACCCAGUGCCCAGGGCUCCUCUCUGAUGAGUAACCCCCUCUGACCCUGACCCAUGGGCACCAGGCACCAGCCGGCACAGGGCCUUGGUGAACUUGAAAUAAAGGCGACCCCCCCAUCCAGAUGGUCACAGCCCAAACCAGCUGGAUGGGCCCCCACUCAUACC